rnacentral:rRNA from 1 species
GUAGGGAAUAUUGGACAAUGGGGGGAACCCUGAUCCAGCCAUGCCGCGUGUGUGAAGAAGGCCUUUUGGUUGUAAAGCACUUUAAGCGAGGAGGAGGCUACCGAGAUUAAUACUCUUGGAUAGUGGACGUUACUCGCAGAAUAAGCACCGGCUAACUCUGUGCCAGCAGCCGCGGUAAUACAGAGGGUGCAAGCGUUAAUCGGAUUUACUGGGCGUAAAGCGCGCGUAGGUGGCCAAUUAAGUCAAAUGUGAAAUCCCCGAGCUUAAGUUGGGAAUUGCAUUCGAUACUGGUUGGCUAGAGUAUGGGAGAAGAUGGUAGAAUUCCAGGUGUAGCGGUGAAAUGCGUAGAGAUCUGGGGGAAUACCGAUGGCGAAGGCAGCCAUCUGGCCUAAUACUGACACUGAGGUGCGAAAGCAUGGGGAGCAAACGGGAUUAGAUACCCGGGUAGUCC